rnacentral:rRNA from 1 species
UGGGAAUAUUGCACAAUGGCGAAAGCCUGAUGCAGCAACGCCGCGUGAGGGACGAAGGACGUGACGGUACCUCAUGAAUAAGCCACGGCUAACUACGUGCCAGCAGCCGCGGUAAUACGUAGGUGGCAAGCGUUAUCCGGAUUUACUGGGUGUAAAGGGCGCGUAGGCGGGGAUGCAAGUCAGAUGUGAAAUCUAUGGGCUUAACUCAUAAACUGCAUUUGAAACUGUAUCUCUUGAGUGCUGGAGAGGUAGAUGGAAUUCCUUGUGUAGCGGUGAAAUGCGUAGAUAUAAGGAAGAACACCAGUGGCGAAGGCGAUCUACUGGACAGUAACUGACGCUGAGGCGCGA